rnacentral:rRNA from 1 species
GUGAGUAACACGUGGGUAACCUACCUUUUACACCGGGAUAGCUCAGGGAAACUUGAAUUAAUACCGGAUACUCCUUAGAGACCGCAUGGUCACUUCGGGAAAACUCAGGUGGUAAAAGAUGGACCCGCGGCCCAUUAGCUAGUUGGUGAGGUAAAGGCUCACCAAGGCAGUGAUGGGUAGCCGAGCUGAGAGGCUGGUCCCCCACACGGGCACUGAGAUACGGGCCCGACUCCUACGGGAGGCAGCAGUAGGGAAUAUUGGGCAAUGGGCGAGAGCCUGACCCAGCCAUGCCGCGUGCAGGAAGAAGGCUUUCUGAGUCGUAAACUGCUUUUGACAGGGAAGAAUAAGGCUUACGUGUAAGCUGAUGACGGUACCUGCAGAAUAAGCACCGGCUAACUCCGUGCCAGCAGCCGCGGUAAUACGGAGGGUGCGAGCGUUAUCCGGAAUCAUUGGGUUUAAAGGGUCCGUAGGCGGUUUAGUAAGUCAGUGGUGAAAUCCCAUCGCUCAACGGUGGAACGGCCAUUGAUACUGCUAGACUUGAAUUAUUAGGAAGUAACUAGAAUAUGUAGUGUAGCGGUGAAAUGCUUAGAGAUUACAUGGAAUACCAAUUGCGAAGGCAGGUUACUACUAAUAUAUUGACGCUGAUGGACGAAAGCGUGGGUAGCGAACAGGAUUAGAUACCCUGGUAGUCCACGCCGUAAACGAUGGAUACUAGCUGUUGGGAGCAAUCUCAGUGGCUAAGCGAAAGUGAUAAGUAUCCCACCUGGGGAGUACGUUCGCAAGAAUGAAACUCAAAGGAAUUGACGGGGGCCCGCACAAGCGGUGGAGCAUGGUGGUUUAAUUCGAUGAUACGCGAGGAACCUUACCAAGGCUUAAAUGUAGUUUGACCGGUUUGGGAAACAGAUCUUUCGCAAGACAAAUUACAAGGUGCUGCAUGGUUGUCGUCAGCUCGUGCCGUGAGGUGUCAGGUUAAGUCCUAUAACGAGCGCAACCCCUGUUGUUAGUUGCCAGCGAGUCAUGUCGGGAACUCUAACAAGACUGCCAGUGCAAACUGUGAGGAAGGUGGGGAUGACGUCAAAUCAUCACGGCCCUUACGCCUUGGGCUACACACGUGCUACAAUGGCCGGUACAGAGAGCAGCCACUGGGUGACCAGGAGCGAAUCUAUAAAACCGGUCACAGUUCGGAUCGGAGUCUGCAACUCGACUCCGUGAAGCUGGAAUCGCUAGUAAUCGGAUAUCAGC